CGAAAAUGCACAGUUCGAGAUGAAACUCAAACCAGUUUAUUUCAUCCUGUUUAUGAUUAUUUUAUCAUUUAUGUUCGAGAUCGAAGCUGCAACUACCAAAAAAAAGAAAGGGAAGAAAGUAAAAAAGAAGAGUACAAAAACCAAAAAAAAGUCGGCCAAAAAAUCAAAAAAAGUUAAAAAAUCCAAAAAAAAGUCAGACAAGCCAGACUAUUACGACAAAAUGAUUGAAAAGUGGGAGAAGAGAAAUCCCCUCAUGGUCCCUCGAGGGAUUGCCAUCCCGGAGGAAUUUUUGCACGAAGAAACCAAUGAGACCCUGACCAUUGCCCUGCCCGACUCGGUUUUAAACGACGAAGAAUAUAAUAUUUCGGCGACAAAUAAUGCAUAAAAAUAAUAACAAUAAAAGUUCUUUUUUGUGAAACAA